CCUACGGGGGGCAGCAGUGAGGAAUAUUGGUCAAUGGACGAGAGUCUGAACCAGCCAAGUCGCGUGAAGGCUGACUGCCCUAUGGGUUGUAAACUUCUUUUAUCUGGGAAUAAAAUGUUCCACGUGUGGGAUUUUGUAUGUACCAUAUGAAUAAGGAUCGGCUAACUCCGUGCCAGCAGCCGCGGUAAUACGGAGGAUCCGAGCGUUAUCCGGAUUUAUUGGGUUUAAAGGGUGCGUAGGUGGAAUGUUAAGUCAGGUGUGAAAGUUGGGGGCUCAACCUUAAAAUUGCAGUUGAAACUGGCAGUCUUGAGUACAGUAGAGGUGGGCGGAAUUCGUGGUGUAGCGGUGAAAUGCGUAGAUAUCACGAAGAACUCCGAUUGCGAAGGCAGUUCACUGGACUGCAACUGACACUGAGGCUCGAAAGUGUGGGUAUCAAACAGGAUUAGAUACCCCAGUAGUC
rnacentral:rRNA from 1 species